rnacentral:lncRNA from 1 species
AAAAAUACAUAAUGUAUACUUUAAAAUUAUGGGUCUUACAGUUUCUAGUUUCUAGUUUGAUGUUUCGUUUUCUUUAGCAUUAGAGAGAUAGAAGUAACCAAGAAAGAAGUAGAGAGAGGCAGAAAGAAACCGAGAGAAGGAGAAGAGACCAAGGAAGCCGCGAGAAGUGUGGUUGCUCCAAAAGGCACCGGUUUCAACAACGAUGG